rnacentral:rRNA from 1 species
UACGUAGGGUGCGAGCGUUGUCCGGAAUUACUGGGCGUAAAGAGCUCGUAGGUGGUUUGUCGCGUUGUCCGUGAAAACUCACAACUCAAUUGUGGGCGUGCGGGCGAUACGGGCAGACUGGAGUACUGCAGGGGAGACUGGAAUUCCUGGUGUAGCGGUGGAAUGCGCAGAUAUCAGGAGGAACACCGAUGGCGAAGGCGACUACCUGGCCUGUUCUUGACGCUGAGGCGCGAAAGCUAGGGGAGCAAACGGG